rnacentral:lncRNA from 1 species
CGUGAGAUCAAUAACACCGAUACCGGAAAUUGGUGUUCAAGUGCGGGAAUUACACGUGGAAAUUCACGAAUACGACGUAAACAAAGUCGAAAUUGCAUUUAUUUGCAAGAUUUCAAAUACAAGUUAAUUGUUACAUUUAAUCUGAUUGAGGAUUUAUACGUACGAUCUGUACACUUUUGUAUCUUGUAUUAUGGCAAAUACUUUUUGUUUGUUUAUAUAUAAAUUACCGAUAUGAUGUAACAAAAUAUUUAGUUCAAUUCAAUUGCGCCAGUGAUCGCCAGUGUUGGGAUUUUGGCUUGUUCUGGACCUGUUGUGUUUGCCGUUUGGAAAUAGCCAUCAUUGAAUUUUUGUGUGGAUAUAAGACUCUAUUUUUGAGUAUACCAUAAUAUUCUUUAUAUAACUUUAUAAAUAUAUUAAAGUAUUAAAUUAUGUGAGCUAUGGAUCUGUUACAAAUACAUCAAUUAAGGCCAUAUUUAUAGUAGUGGAAUAUUCGAUUAAAAUAGUAGUGGAAUAUUCGAUUAAAGUAAUAAUUUUAUAACAAACCUACUGUUAAUUUAAACCCUCCACAUCCUCUCUCAAAUUGAGAUACAAGCUAUAGUUUCUAGACUCCAUGCCUGAAAUAAAUAAGCUGCUUGGCCAGCUUGGGGCUUAACAGAAAAUAAACAGGACAGCAGUGUAGGGUACAAACCACUCUCCCAUUUCUGAAAGCCUUUGGAUGAUAUAGCAUCCAUGAAAGCAUAGGUUGGGAAUAAAAUAAGCUUUAAAUUGCCAGAAUUUUGAGGUAAAAUUUAAAGGACUGAGAUUUAGAGCACCAUAAGGUGUUCACGUUGUGGCAACCGAAUGCCUUCCCACCAAAAGUGUCUGCUACUGCAGUAAGAGCAUACAAUAUGAUGUGCUGAAAUUAUAUAUGCUAACAAUACCAGUAUGGCUACGACUAGUGGUGUAGUCCUGGAAUGUUAACAAGGGGGGGGCUCUCCAACAGGGGCAAAACUUCUGUAUUUGAUCAUUUGCUAAUUAAUAUUUCUUUUCCCAAAAUUGUUGGUUAGCGGGGGGCAUUUUUCACUACCGCUUUUUCCUACCACUAUUACUUUUCAAUCUGAGACACUCAAAUAUUUUCAAGAUUUGCCCGACUAAAUUGUAUGGGUAUACCCGAUGAGAUCGAGACAGGGGGUGUCACCCCUACACACACCCCCAGGUAGUUUUGUCCCUUUUCUCCAAAAGUGUCCUAAACUGGUGGAGGGGGGUGGGCUAAGUCCCCCUGAGCCCCUCCCCUACUAGACCACUGGCUAUGACAAUGCCACAGUGGCAGCAGGUCAUCCCACAUGCAUCUUACAUUCCACUUGCAACAUUACAUAGUUAACGUACAGUACAUAUUUAAUGGGAAUAGUAGCUAGUUACCUUGAUUUGGCCAUAUACCUGUUGCAGGCAUACAUCAGCACAUGUAAGUUAUGAUUUGUCUUCCAGGGAUAUGAAGCAAUGUCAGGAGGUCAGGGUAAUGUAGCUUACCCCAUAACCCCAAUAAUGGCAGAUUUCCCAAUCAGUGCCUCCAGUAUUUGGAUAGGCAAUUUAGCAACACCCUGCCUUGCCUGCCACCUUUCAGACAGGCACCCAACCUGAUGACAUCAGUCUGUGUUAAUUGUUAAACCCAUAGAUAGGUCUCCUAUAUCUAUGGUUAAACCCAAUAGUUAUGAUAAAUGAUAAUAUUAUAUCAGCAAAAACAUUUCAAAGUUCAAACACUGUGUCAUAAUUCCAUUUAAUUAAGUUAUUUUCAAGCAUCAAUAAUUAAUUGUCAACAUAAUUUUUUAUGACUCAAUUAAUAAAUAAAUUAAAUACAUAUAACCAUGGAACUGUUUGUAUGAAUGUAAUGCAAUGCAUAAUGCAGUGCCGUAGCCAGAACGAUAAUUGGGGGGGGGGGCACAUAUUCAUAUAUUCGUGUUCACAUACCAUAAAAACAAUUGAUUUCAAAAGAAAUUAAUAAAGCAGAACACGAAUAUAUGAAUAUGUGCCCCCCCCCAAUUAUCGUUCUGGCUACGGUACUGGCACAAUGUUAAAUCAAACUUAUCACAGGACAAAGGAAUGAUAUAGCUAGAGUAAUAACAGAGGGAAGUAUUUUCAUGCUUAUUUUAAAUAUCAAUACAAUGCACCAAUUAAAGUAUCACUAUGUAAUUGUAAUAAACAAAAUAGGCUAACAGGUCCACAGUUGCCCAUAAAGCAUUCUACAUAUUUUAAUAUUAUAAAAAAUAUUUAAUAGUCAUAAUGUUUAAAUGGCAGUCGAUCCAAAUCUUGUUCGUAAUAGUUUGUAAUAAUCUAGAUCCUCUAUAAAACCUCUGUCAGUGGCCUUCUUGCGAAGUCUCUCGAUACCAUUUCUUGACCGUAUAAAAUCCAUAGAAAUGAUUAGUUUAUAUACACCGCAUAUAUAUUUACUCUGUAACUUUUAGCACAAGAAAAUGAAUCUUGUUCAAUUGAUUUCAAUGUAAAAGUAUCAAAUUUUCGACUGAAUUCUACGAUUUUAUUUAUGAUUGCAACUAAUGACGCCCGCACGAAUUCAAUGUUGCGGUUUGAGCGUGAGCAUGCGCACAACUAACCGGAUAUCCAAAAUUGGAUAUCCGGUAUUCCGUUUCUCCAGAGUCAUGCCCAGCACCUAACCUGCGAACGGGCAUACUCUGGGUACGAGAUUGGC